UACGUAGGGGGCAAGCGUUGUCCGGAAUCAUUGGGCGUAAAGCGCGUGUAGGCGGCCCGGUAAGUCCGCUGUGAAAGUCCAGGGCUCAACCCUGGGAUGCCGGUGGAUACUGUCGGGCUCGAGUCCGGAAGAGGCGAGUGGAAUUCCUGGUGUAGCGGUGAAAUGCGCAGAUAUCAGGAGGAACACCUAUUGCGAAGGCAGCUCGCUGGGACGCAACUGACGCUGAGACGCGAAAGCGUGGGGAGCGAACAGG
rnacentral:rRNA from 1 species